rnacentral:rRNA from 1 species
AACGAACGCUGGCGGCAUGCCUAACACAUGCAAGUCGAACGAGGGCUUCGGCCCUAGUGGCGCACGGGUGAGUAACGCGUGGGAACCUGCCCUGUGGUACGGAAUAACUCCGGGAAACUGGAGCUAAUACCGUACGCGUCCUGCGGGACAAAGAUUUAUCGCCAUGGGAUGGGCCCGCGUAGGAUUAGCUUGUUGGUGGGGUAACGGCCUACCAAGGCAACGAUCCUUAGCUGGUCUGAGAGGAUGAUCAGCCACACUGGGACUGAGACACGGCCCAGACUCCUACGGGAGGCAGCAGUGGGGAAUAUUGGACAAUGGGCGCAAGCCUGAUCCAGCAAUGCCGCGUGAGUGAUGAAGGCCUUCGGGUUGUAAAGCUCUUUCGCACGCGACGAUGAUGACGGUAGCGUGAGAAGAAGCCCCGGCUAACUUCGUGCCAGCAGCCGCGGUAAAAC